rnacentral:pre_miRNA from 1 species
UGACUCCUCCAUGUCUUGGAGUAGGUCAUUGGGUGGAUCCUCUGUUUCCUCAAAUGGGCCACUGGAUGGCUCCUCCAUGUCUUGGAGUAGAUCA